UACAGAGGGUGCAAGCGUUGUUCGGAAUUAUUGGGCGUAAAGGGCGCGUAGGCGGUUCGGCAAGUCUCUAGUGAAAUCUCUGGGCUCAACUCAGAGUCUGCUGGGGAAACUGCCGGGCUUGAGUGUGGGAGAGGAGAGUGGAAUUCCCGGUGUAGCGGUGAAAUGGCGUAGAUAUCGGGGAGGAACACCUGUGGCGAAAGCGGCUCUCUGGACCACAACUGACGCUGAGGCGGCGAAAGCUAGGGGAGCAAACAGG
rnacentral:rRNA from 1 species